UACGUAGGGUGCGAGCGUUGUCCGGAAUUAUUGGGCGUAAAGAGCUUGUAGGCGGUCUGUCGCGUCUGCUGUGAAAAUCCGGGGCUCAACUCCGGACUUGCAGUGGGUACGGGCAGACUAGAGUGUGGUAGGGGAGACUGGAAUUCCUGGUGUAGCGGUGAAAUGCGCAGAUAUCAGGAGGAACACCGAUGGCGAAGGCAGGUCACUGGGCCGCAACUGACGCUGAGGAGCGAAAGCAUGGGGAGCGAACAGG
rnacentral:rRNA from 1 species